CCUCAGCAUAGCUUAGAAAAUAAUUUACUAAAAUGACAUCAAAGAAUCUCAUUAAAUGUAUGUGAUAUUAAAAUUUAAAAUAUUAAUAUAUAGUUUGAUCCAUAUUAUGAAUCAAAAUUUUGUCUGCAAUUGACACCCCUUUUAAAUUUUUGCUAAAUUGGUAUUACCCAUCUAGGCUUUUCUUUUAGAGGAAAGAAAGGAAGUGUGCUGCUGCUCAUUACACCAUGAAAUACAUAAACACAGUCCCAGGACCAUCCCACCUUUUAAAUAAAAAUCCACACUGAAGGUUUUAUUCCUCUUAAAUACUGUUUAGUGUCCUUCACAACUUUCCCGGGAGAUCAGGAAGAGUGAGUUCAGUGCUAUACUUUGGAUGUGAAACAGUGAGACAAUUUGAGCCAACAUAUUGGUUAGAAGGCAAUGCAAAAUGCCCACUGAGAUCUUGGAGCAGAGCUUGUCUAAUCGGUGUUUGUGUUUAGAUUUGAUAGAAGGAUCACAGGAGCAUCUGUAUCAUAAGGGACCUGAGCCAAUCUAUUUUGGAGAAACAUUCUGAGGGAAAGGUAAUUCAUUCUGCCAGUGAAACAGUGACUGUGGGGUCACUGGAGUGAAUUGUUUUCCAAGUACUAUGAUCAUAGUUCCGAAACUGUUUCUCUCACCUGAAUCCACUACAAGAUUGAACCCUGUGAGAACAUAAGGCACGAUAGCUGAUUCUAAUCUGAAAUCAGACCAAGGAUUCCGGGGGGAAAUCUGAAUUGUAAGAAGGAAUGUGUGAGAGUCACAGGCUGCCAAAAGUCAGCUUUCACAGACAGAUGAAAUUCUGAAAUCUAAUAAUCAUUAGAGUAGUGUUCUUUAUGGAAAAUGAGUAAUUCACAGCACUAAAAUUUAAAUGAUAGAAAAAUAUCUAUAGGGAGGAUCAAAUCAUAACUAAACUACACAGUGAAGGAAAGGCUUUCUGCUGAAAGCACUAUGGAAGGGUAAAUAUCUUCUCUAAGAAAGGGCUAAAGCCCACUGCUUUGAAAGUUCUUAUGCUCCCUGGAAGCCUAAGAGCUUUCUCCUUCAUAACUAACCCAAGCUUGUUUUAAGCCUGGCAGCCAAAGGGUCCCUAUGUUGGAUGACCCUUCUAUGCCCUCUACUGAAUCUUGUGUGGUCCCCAAACAGGCCAGCACACAUCUGACAGUGGUCGGGGCCAAUUUCCCAUUCACAUGUGUGUUCUCAGGCCUGAGAGCAGGGUUGGGUGUGCUCUGACAUAGUCAUGUCCUCUAGACCGCCUCCCCCUACUCUUGUCUAAAUGCAUAAGUCGAGUCACUGAAGGGCCAUCGCUGGCCUCUCCUGACAUUCUCCCCUCCAGAUGACCGGGUGAGUCAGGAAGGUGUUUCCUCGGGAAGCUGGGGGCCCAAGCCAGCCAGUUUCAGCCAUCGUUACUGAGUAAGAACAUGCUGUGCUCAGCCUGUUGGCUCCACUCUUGAGCACAAAGUAUGUGUUACAACAACAAGCACAAGAAUACUGACCACACGCUUCCCUAUCUCUAGAUCUGUAAUGAGAACAUUUGAAGUAAAUACAUACAAUCAAGAAACAGUUCUGUAAGGCAGAAAUUGAACAGAGUUUCUGAUUUGUAGCCCUGAGACACAGCUUCUUGUACUCUGUGAAUCCAGACCCCACAGGUUAUGGAAGAAAAGCAACAGACAGAAGAUGGGAAAAACAGGUCACGUUUAUAAGACCAGCUUGAAGACCAUGCCACACUGAGGAGUUUGGUUUUUCGUUAGGCAAAGAAACUAGCUGUUUUUUCUUCAAUGUUCAUCGGAAAACUUGCCCAGCAGCUGUGAGUGACUCUUCAGCUUUCGAAUCAUUGUCUUGGAAUCUUCUAAACCAGGACUUUAAAAAAUACUGUAACGGUUAAUAUUGAGUGUCAACUUGAUUGGAUUGAAGGAUGCAAAGUAUUGUUCCUGGGUGUGUCUGUGAGGGUGUUGCCAAAGGAGAUUAACAUUCCAGUCAGUGGACUGGGAAAGGCAGACCCACCCUCAAUCUGGGUGGGCACCAUCUAAUCAGCUGCCAGUGUGGCCAGAAUAAAGCAGGAAAAUGUGGAAGGACUUGACUUGCUGAGUCUUCUGGUCUUCAGCUUUCUCCCAUGCUGGAUGCUUCCUGCCUUAGAGCAUUGGACUCCAGGUCUUCAGCUUUUGGACUCUCGGACUUACACCAGUGGUUUGCCAGGGGCUCUCAGGCCUUUGGACACAGACUGAAGGCUGCACUGUCGGCUUCCCUACUUUUGAGGUUUUGGGCUUCCCUACUCCUCAGCUUGCAGAUGGCCUAUUGUGGAACUUUACCCUGUGAUCAUGCCCUCAGCUUGGACUGGAACUACACCCCCAGCUCUCCUGGGUCUCCAGCUUGCAGAGGAAAGAUUGCAGGACUUCUCAGCCUCCAUAAAUGCGUAAGCUAAUUCCUUACAAAAAAUCUCUCUCUCUCUCUUUCUCUCUCUCUCUACACACACACACACACACACACACACACACACACACACACACACACACGUAUCCUCCUAUUGGUUCUGUUUCUUUGGAGAUCUUGACUAAUACAAGCACCUUUCAAUCAGAUUGGAGGCUGCCUAAUGCUGGAAGUGGGCCACCCAUCUCUACUGUGCUAAAUUUCAACCUUUUAGUUGCCUGAUCAUGGAGAGGUCUAGGUGGCCUGGGUAGCAGAAACACAGUCAAAGCUCAGAACAGCAGUUAUUUGUCCUCAUGUAUCUUAAUAUUUUAGCAAGUACAACUCUCUGUGUGUGACAACAAACUACAGAAUUCUCUUAUAAUUCUAAGGCAUUGUGUGUGUGUGUGUGUGUGUGUACACAAAUGCAUAUGCACACUAACGUAACUCCCAGAAAUGAUUUCCACUGACAAGUCAUAAAGAGUUGUAAAAAAAAAUAUGACUAGUUUAGUACACAAUACUAAUUCUUCUUAGACUUUCCAUCACUAGAAGUCCAAUAUUAAUAAUUUUACCAUAAAAGGGGUGGUAAUCAGAAAAUAUUCUCACUUCUGAUGGACUACUUUAAAGUUGAAAUGGUGUUAUGUUUCCAUUAAUAGCCUGGAUCUCAUUAAGUCAUUAACACAUUCUAAAUUCAGUGACACAAAUUCGAAGUAAAGCAAAUGGGAAGGAGGAGGGAUCUUUAAGCUUUAAAAGAUCUCCCUGCUUUAAGCUGAAGUUAAAGCUGACCAUACCAAAGACAUAAAGCACUUUUUAGUGUGAAAUGACAUUUGUGGUUAUGUUUCUAUUUGAUGAGAAAUGUUAAGUUUGUGACAAUCAUCCAUCCUUACUGUGAAUUUUUUUUCAUUAAAAAUAUGUGUAUUACUCAAGUAUUUAUAGAUAAACUAAGAUGCUAUCAUGAAUUUGUUUCAAAAGAAUUCAACGGACAGUUGGAGGAGUAGGAAGUAUGGAUAAAAUGAGAUUGGCUGUGUUUGAUAAUUAUUGAAGCUGGUGUUGGGUAAACGGGGGUUCAUUAUUUUAUUCUAUUUUUAUGUAUAUUUGAUGUUUUCCACAGUACAAAGCUUUUUUCUCUCCAUUUUCUAUUUUUUACUUUAGCCAUAAUUAUACUUGUGUCUCUAAUUCAUAUUUUAAAAGUAAAAUACAAGAUAAUUAAGAUGGUAUGUAUCCAAUUAAAAUUAAAAUAAAUCUUAAAAUAAUGAGC
rnacentral:lncRNA from 10 species